GUUUGGAAGCGGGUCGAAGCUUUUUCGGUUUAAGAAACGGUCCGUUUCUUGGAGAGACCAAACCGGAUUAUGAAUGUCAGUUCGUGAAACCAACUCAAGCUCAGGUUGAGAGCUACGUUGAAGCCAGGGCUAGGGUUCUGCAAAGGCAACAAAACCGGCUUUUUCAAAACCGGGAUUUGCCAUUUCAAGCAAAAGGUUUUAAUAAUAAUAAGUUCGGGUUAGGUGGUGGUUUGGUGAGAGCAUCGGGAGGCACCGGAGUUUUUCAUCCUCGCGUUCUUAACACUACUUUUGAUUCCGAAAAGAAACAAGGUCUGAGAAAUAGGCAAUCAUAAGAGAUUCAAGUUAGCCGAGAGAUGAAGGCCAUGAAAGGGGUAGGUCUUGUGAAGCAAGAGGGUUGCUAUUGUCAUCUUCCACCAGUGAUGUGGUUUCCUAGGGACUGGAUUUAGUCACCUUCAAUCAGCUUCCAUUUUGUGUGCAUGUGAUUUGCCAUGAAAAGAUAUGAUAAAUGACUGAAUAAGACAUAUUUGCGGUAGAAUGAAGUAGAUAGAAGGUGAAAUAAACUUGGGGUUUCAUGCAAAUCUUGUAUAAGAGACGAGAUGCUUUUGUAGUUAGUAUUGGUAUAAUAGUGUCCUUGAUUUAGCUUUUGUAGAGAUAGAUAUGAAUAAUGCUUUUGAAAGGCAUUCAUGGUGAGGAAUUGGCUGUUUUGCCAUCCUUUUGUAUUAUGUUUGAUGUAGCAAUGCAGAAUAUUUAAGG